rnacentral:rRNA from 1 species
GAUGAACGCUGGCGGCAUGCCUUACACAUGCAAGUCGAACGGCAGCACGGGAGCAAUCCUGGUGGCGAGUGGCGAACGGGUGAGUAAUAUAUCGGAACGUGCCCGGUCGUGGGGAUAACGUAGCGAAAGCUACGCUAAUACCGCAUACGAUCUACGGAUGAAAGCGGGGGAUCGCAAGACCUCGCGCGAUUGGAGCGGCCGAUAUCAGAUUAGGUAGUUGGUGAGGUAAAGGCUCACCAAGCCAACGAUCUGUAGCUGGUCUGAGAGGACGACCAGCCACACUGGAACUGAGACACGGUCCAGACUCCUACGGGAGGCAGCAGUGGGGAAUUUUGGACAAUGGACGCAAGCCUGAUCCAGCAAUGCCGCGUGCAGGAUGAAGGCCUCGG